CCUACGGGUGGCAGCAGUGAGGAAUAUUGGUCAAUGGGCGCGAGCCUGAACCAGCCAAGUAGCGUGAAGGAUGACUGCCCUACGGGUUGUAAACUUCUUUUAUAAAGGAAUAAAGUGAGGCACGUGUGCCUUUUUGUAUGUACUUUAUGAAUAAGGCUCGGCUAACUCCGGGCCAGCAGCCGCGGUAAUAAGGAGGAUCCGAGCGUUAUCCGGAUUUAUUGGGUUUAAAGGGAGCGUAGAGGGGUUGUUAAGUCAGUUGUGAAAGUUUGCGGCUCAACCGUAAAAUUGCAAUUGAUACUGGCAGUCGUGAGUACAGUAGAGGUAGGCGGAAUGCGUGGUGUAGCGGUGAAAUGCUUAGAUAUCACGAAGAACUCCGAGUGCGAAGGCAGCCUACUGAACUGCCACUGACAUUGAUGCUCGAAAGUGUGGGUAGCAAACAGGAUUAGAUACCCGGGUAGUC
rnacentral:rRNA from 1 species